rnacentral:rRNA from 1 species
UACGUAGGGAGCAAGCGUUGUCCGGAAUCAUUGGGCGUAAAGCGCGCGUAGGCGGCCCUGUAAGUCCGUUGUGAAAGUCAAAGGCUCAACCUUUGAAAGCCGAUGGAUACUGCAGGGCUAGAGUCCGGAAGAGGAGAGUGGAAUUCCCGGUGUAGCGGUGAAAUGCGCAGAUAUCGGGAAGAACACCUAUGGCGAAGGCAGCUCUCUGGGACGGUACUGACGCUGAGACGCGAAAGCGUGGGGAGCGAACAGG